rnacentral:rRNA from 1 species
UACGUAGGGCGCGAGCGUUGUCCGGAAUUAUUGGGCGUACAGAGCUCGUAGGUGGCUUGUCGCGUCUGCCGUGAAAGCUCAUGGCUUAACUGUGGGUCUGCGGUGGAUACGGGCUGGCUGGAGGUAGGCAGGGGCAAGCGGAAUUCCUGGUGUAGCGGUGAAAUGCGCAGAUAUCAGGAGGAACACCGGUGGCGAAGGCGGCUUGCUGGGCCUUGCCUGACGCUGAGGAGCGAAAGCGUGGGGAGCGAACAGG